AAUUUAAAACAGCAGAAUAUUUUUCUAAAACAUAUUUCCAAGGAAUCUAUCAGAGUCUGUAGAAACUCAUAAAAUCAAAUGUUUAGUUUACUUUGAGUGAAAAACCGUUUGAAAUUUCAAGUCUUUCUGCCCACAUACAGAACAGGAAAUCAGAUAAAUAAAGUUUAUUUUAACUGAUGAAAUGUGAGGUUCUUGUCCUGUGGAUGGUGUUCUGGGUCGUCGGUUCUCUGAAGACAGAUGGUGCGUUGAAGGGGUAUUGGAAAAAUGAGCUUCAGAGGAAAAGAUGGACUGAUUUUACUCGGUGUGGUGAUGCGGGUCCGCCGGGGGGAACCGCUGUGGUUUUUCUGCAGGGGUCCUUGAGAUGAUCCGGGUUCCAGAUCCAGAUGGAGUUUAUUGGAGGCAGAUGGUUGAUGCUGCGGUGGACAGAGAGGAGAGGAGCGAACCGACUGCCGGCUCUGAAACCAGGAACUGUCAAAGACUCUUCAGCUGAGGCAGAGAGGAACUCGGCCAACCAGUGGAUAAAAUCCAAGGCGCCACGAGGAAACACCUGCUGACCCGCCCCCGCUGCACAGACUGGAAACAUCUGGAGCAGCUGCUGCUUUCUGAGUUCUGCUCUGCGACCAGCCAUGUUGUCUCUGGCAUCCCGGUCGCUCCGCUUCAGCCUUGCUGGUUGCCGUUGCUUAGCAACGGUCAUUUCCGGCAACAAGACGUCCAAGUUGGUGAGGGAACGGCUGAAGAACGACGUGGAGAAGAUGAGGAACCGGUUCUCUGGGUUCAGACCCGGUCUGGUGGUUCUGCAGGUGGGAGAUAGAGACGACUCGAACCUCUACAUCAGCACCAAACUGAAAGCUGCAGCCGAGAUCGGAAUCGAAGCCAAACACAUCCGGCUGCCGACCUCGGCGACUCAGGAAGAGGUUCUGCAGAACAUCAUGGCGGUCAACCAGAACCCGGCGGUCCACGGCCUGAUUGUCCAGCUGCCUCUUGACUCCGCCCACAAGAUGGACACCGAGCUCAUCACCAACGCCGUGUCCCCCGACAAGGACGUGGACGGGCUGAGCUGCAUCAAUGCAGGAAAGUUGUCUCGAGGGGAUCUGAGCAACUGCUUCAUCCCCUGCACCCCCAACGGCUGCAUGGAGCUCAUCCGGCAGACAGGCGUGUCGGUGGCAGGUAAACACGCUGUCGUCAUCGGUCGCAGUAAGAUCGUCGGCGCUCCGAUGCACGACCUGCUGCUGUGGCGUCACGCCACCGUGACCACCUGCCACUCCAGGACCCAAGAUUUACCUGAGCAGGUGGGCCGGGCCGACAUCCUGGUGGUGGGGGCGGGGCGAGCCGAGAUGGUGAGGGGGGAGUGGCUGAAGGUCGGCGCCGUGGUGAUCGACUGCGGGAUCAAUCACAUUCCAGAUGAGACCAAAGCCAGCGGUAAACGGGUGGUUGGUGACGUUCACUACGCCUCAGCCAAUCAGAGAGCAGGAUUCAUAACACCUGUUCCUGGAGGGGUGGGGCCGAUGACGGUGGCCAUGCUGAUGGAGAACACGGUCCAAAGCGCCCAGCGGUUCCUCCUCAGGUGAAAAUCAGACAGUUUCUGCUCGUCUGUUUUCCUGCAGCUCAAACCGCAAUGAGAACCGGAUUCAGACCAACGAUGAAGUGAAACUCCAGCUGAAGAUUUUAUUUUUUAUUUUAUUCUGAAACUUUUCAUCCUGCAGCUAAAAUAUGUUUAACCAUCAGGGAGAAAUUAUCAUCAAAAUGUUUACAGUAAAUAAAACAAAACUUUAGAACUGAUUCAGAUGUGGUGAUGUGGUUUUCUGGAGUAGACAUCAGUAGUCAGUAUGUUACACAACGACUAGUCAGACUCCUGACAACCAGAUUUCAGCUUUUGUGUUUUUUACUUUUUAAACUUUCAUCAGCUAAGUUUUAUAAUUUAGUUUAUUUAUCUUAAGAUAUUUUCCUGUUAAAGGUAAGUUGUUCCUCUCUAUGGUUGCCACGUGCUUUUUAAGAUGCACCUAAAUAUGUUUUCUUAAUAAAAUCAAAUACAUAUAAAAGCAAAGAUUAUUUAAUAAUCAGCCGUUAUUAUUAAUGUGUUAUGAACUAAAUUUCUCCUGUAAUUCAGUUUCACUGUUUGAACCAGAUGUGAUUAUGAUUCAAAAUCAAAAACUUGAUCUGAAGCAGAGCAUUGAUGUGACGUUCAAUCAUCUGAAAUGAUUUAGUUUCUGUUUGUUUGAGGUUUUGAUUCCAUCAUAAACUCAUAAAAUCUGA